rnacentral:pre_miRNA from 15 species
AGAAAAAGUGGAAAGGGUUGCGCCUGGCUCCCUGUAUGCCACAUGCGUAGACCGAUGUCCAUGGGGAGAUUGGAUAUUGUGGGUGGCGUGCGAGGAGCCAAGCAUGAUCUCUCUCUCUCUCUCUCUC